GGAGAAAUGAAUAACCCAAGAAUGUCCUGGCUGAGUCUCCAUGAGAUGAUCAGCCCCGUGGAGGGUAGCCUGAGAUCUUGGACAAAGAUGGUGGCGCUGCUGGAGCCAGGAAGAUGUGGAGAGGACAGCAGAGUGUUGAGGCUUUGACAUGAAGAGUAAGGAGGUGGAGACCAGGUCAGAGAGAGCGGGCACCAUUUUCCUGACAUGGGUGGACGUUUGAUGGGAGAACAGGAAGCUGCAGCACUCUGGAGUGUAGACAGUGACCUUGGGCACAGAGAGACCUUACAGCUUCCUUGAGACGGGAGAUCAGGGGCUGUUUGUCUGCACGGUGAUUUGGUGGUGGUCCUGAAACCGAAGAGGCAGAGGAGCCGGUAAGCAGCAAUGUCCAGUAACCAGAAAGAGAUUCGAGGUGGGAAAGGGUCUGGAGGUCAAAGCAGCUCAGCAGGACCAGGACCUGGUACAUUUUUAAGGCAAGUGGGAGAGAAAGGAACACACACAUGCACCCCAAGACCGUGGGCUCAGAUGCCCUUGUGCCCUUCCCUGAUUCUGCCCCCAAACUGUGUAAGCAGUCAGCCCUGUCCGGGAGGAAUCUCACUAGCACACCCUUGCCCUCUUCGCCUUGGUUGGGGAUCCAGCCUCCAGACCUGUGCAUCACUUCACAGUUCAGUGCUCUGGCUUUCUCCUGCCCUCAGCCUACCAUGGUCUGCUGUUUGGGGACAAAGCACCUGCCCUGUGAGGUGGGUGACACCAAGCUUGCACCAGCGGCCCCGUGGACAGCACCUCACCGGGCCUCCCAAGGGUAGAACCCUAGAUCCCGGCGUCUCCAUGUGGAAAGCAGCCCAGCCAGUGAGCAAGAGCACUGGAGGCCUUAGCUCGUGGCUGGAUGCUGGGCUUUCUUCCCUCUAGCUCUGCUCCCCCCAACCCUCGCCUGGCCUCUUGGUGACACCCCAGACUGUUCUGUGUGCCUGCUGUGAACCCCGCUUCCUUUCGAGAUGAAUUCCAGCGCAGCUCUGCUCAUUCACCCCAGCUGCCUACCACAGAGAAGCCCGGGCAGCUUCCUCUCGGUGUCCCCACUCGGAGGCCCAGGGACAGGCGUUGAUACUCACCACGGCCAGGAGAUGCUCCGGUUUGAACAAGGGCACCCUGUGCCAGGCGUUUGACAACUUGUAGCCCAAGAUGAAGGCACUAGAGCAGUAAGGGAGGAAGCACCAUCCCUCGACGCUGCUUGUCUGUGCAGCGCAGACUGACUUUAAGUCAUUCCUGAGGUCAUGGAAAGUGCAGCUGGUGUUUUCGAGGGCGGAGGGACGCCUCGGGAAGGAGGACCGGCGAGCUAUGCGGCGAGCAAAGAAGAGUGCUCACCUGAAGUCUGGCUCACAGGGAGCCUGUGCCUCUGCAGUGCAGCCCCAGUUCUCCACCUCACCGUGGAUGCUCCUACGGGCCUCAAGCUUCAUGUACACCCAGGGCAAUGCUAGAUGUCGUCACAUAGCUGCUCCCAUUUGCAUCUCAAAAAAACAGCCCAAGGCAUCCCGGCUUACCCUGGAGCUGAGGAAUGACUUUCUACUUCCACUGGGGACUGAGUCUGUCUGCAGGAAACACGGCACAGGUCACAAACAGGUUCCACCGAUGCCGCCAGCUCUGAUAUGGGAGCUGUAGACUCCAUGUUCUGGAUGAAAGUGAUUUGGGGACGACAGAGCCAGCGCUGAACCUCAGGAGGGCAGUGGAGGACAGCAUG
ensembl:lncRNA